AAGUCGUAACAAGGUUUCCGUAGGUGAACCUGCGGAAGGAUCAUUAACGCGCCGUCGGGGGCCUCCCCGCCUUGAAAGAGGCGGCCGGCUCCCGCACCUGGCCACCCUUGUCUAUUCUACCUGUUGCUUUGGCGGGCCCCGGCACCCUUCUUUGGGUGAGCGGGCCGGGGGGCUUCUGAGCCCCCGGGAUAGCGCCCGCCGAAGACCAACCGAAUUCACCAUGAAGAAUGAAGUCUGAGCUUAACUAAAUCAGUUAAAACUUUCAACAACGGAUCUCUUGGUUCC
rnacentral:misc_RNA from 1 species